UGGCAAACUAGAUCACUUGCUCAGCAUAAUGUUGCUGGAGUGAGGGGAACAUGUUUGCAACAUUAACUUGUAACUGUGGUUACAGGCAGAAUUCCAGCUAACCGAUUCGAUUUAUUUUGGCUAGCAGCUCUGUAUCACAUACAAGA